rnacentral:misc_RNA from 1 species
UCCGGCUUAUCACCGGCAGUCCCUUUAGAGUGCCCAACUAAAUGAUGGCAACUAAAGGCGAGGGUUGCGCUCGUUGCGGGACUUAACCCAACAUCUCACGACACGAGCUGACGACAGCCAUGCAGCACCUGUCUCCGGUCCAGCCGAACUGAAAAGGUCCAUCUCUGGUCCUCGCAACCGGGAUGUCAAGGGUUGGUAAGGUGGGGAUGACGUUCGUCAGUCAA